rnacentral:rRNA from 1 species
UACAGAGGUCUCAAGCGUUGUUCGGAUUCAUUGGGCGUAAAGGGCGCGUAGGCGGCGGGGUAAGUCGGGUGUGAAAUCUCAGAGCUCAACUCUGAAAUGGCACUUGAUACUGCUCUGCUAGAGGACUGGAGAGGAGAUUGGAAUUCACGGUGUAGCAGUGAAAUGCGUAGAUAUCGUGAGGAAGACCGGUGGCGAAGGCGGAUCUCUGGACAGUUCCUGACACUGAGACACGAAGGCCAGGGGAGCAAACGGG